ACCUGGCUGGCUCAGUCAGUAGAGCAUGUGACUCUUGAUCUCAGGGUUGCAGGUUCAAGCCCUGCAUUGGGUA
rnacentral:tRNA from 2 species